rnacentral:rRNA from 1 species
UACGAAGGGGGCUAGCGUUGCUCGGAAUCACUGGGCGUAAAGGGUGCGUAGGCGGGUCUUUAAGUCAGGGGUGAAAUCCUGGAGCUCAACUCCCAGAACUGCCUUUGAUACUGAGGAUCUUGAGUUCGGGAGAGGUGAGUGGAACUGCGAGUGUAGAGGUGAAAUUCGUAGAUAUCGCAAGAACACCAGUGGCGAAGGCGGCUCACUGGCCCGAUACUGACGCUGAGGCACGAAAGCGUGGGGAGCAACAGG